UCCCAGUGAAAAAACAUUCACACAUCUUACCUCUUGUUCUAGUUCCAGAAACUGUAAAGGUGAACCUACUGGGGGCUGGCUUGAGGAGAAGAGGGAAUCUUGUUCCAGAAGGAACUUUACGAGGAAU
ensembl:snoRNA SNORD22 Small nucleolar RNA SNORD22